UGAGGAAUAUUGGUCAAUGGACGCAAGUCUGAACCAGCCAAGUAGCGUUCAGGAUGACGGCCCUAUGGGUUGUAAACUGCUUUUAUAUGGGGAUAAAGCGGGGAACGUGUUCCCUUUUGCAGGUACCAUAUGAAUAAGGACCGGCUAAUUCCGUGCCAGCAGCCGCGGUAAUACGGAAGGUUCGGGCGUUAUCCGGAUUUAUUGGGUUUAAAGGGAGUGUAGGCCGUUUGGUAAGCGUGUUGUGAAAUGUAGGAGCUCAACUUCUAGAUUGCAGCGCGAACUGUCAGACUUGAGUGCGCACAACGUAGGCGGAAUUCAUGGUGUAGCGGUGAAAUGCUUAGAUAUCAUGAAGAACUCCGAUUGCGAAGGCAGCUUACGGGGGCGCAACUGACGCUGAAGCUCGAAGGUGCGGGUAUCGAACAGG
rnacentral:rRNA from 1 species